rnacentral:rRNA from 1 species
GAUGAACGCUGGCGGCGUGCUUAACACAUGCAAGUCGAACGGGAAACCUUUUAUUGAAGCUUCGGCAGAUUUAGCUGGUUUCUAGUGGCGGACGGGUGAGUAACGCGUGGGUAACCUGCCUUAUACAGGGGGAUAACAACCAGAAAUGGUUGCUAAUACCGCAUAAGCGCACAGGACCGCAUGGUCCGGUGUGAAAAACUCCGGUGGUAUAAGAUGGACCCGCGUUGGAUUAGCUAGUUGGCAGGGUAACGGCCUACCAAGGCGACGAUCCAUAGCCGGCCUGGGGGGGUGAAAGGGCACAUUGGGACUGAGACACGGCCCCGACCCCUACGGGAGGCAGCAGUGGGGAAUAUUGCACAAUGGGGGAAACCCUGAUGCAGCGACGCCGCGUGAAGGAAGAAGUAUCUCGGUAUGUAAACUUCUAUCAGCAGGGAAGAUAGUGACGGUACCUGACUAAGAAGCCCCGGCUAACUACGUG